UGAAAGUUAAUGGCGUUUUGGCU
rnacentral:snRNA from 1 species